UACGGGGGGGGCAAGCGUUGUUCGGAAUUACUGGGCGUAAAGGGCUCGUAGGCGGCCAACUAAGUCAGACGUGAAAUCCCUCGGCUUAACCGGGGAACUGCGUCUGAUACUGGUUGGCUUGAAUCCGGGAGAGGGAUGUGGAAUUCCAGGUGUAGCGGUGAAAUGCGUAGAUAUCUGGAGGAACACCGGUGGCGAAGGCGGCAUCCUGGACCAAUUCUGACGCUGAGUGAGCGAAAGCCAGGGGAGCAAACGGG
rnacentral:rRNA from 1 species